GUAAGGGAAAGUGUUCAGUCAAGCACUGAUGAUUCAGUCUUGAAAUGCCUUAUUGACUUGGCAGACACUUGCCCUAAACUUCUCAGGGCAAAUUUAGAAGCUAUAUUGGAUUUGAUGUUAGAGAUUGUGAGAAACACAACUCUUGUUGAAAGUUGGAGACAUUUAUCAUUAGAGUGUGUUGUCACAUUGGCAGAAACAGCUCCAGCAAUGCUGAGAAAGUGCCAAAAACAUAUUCCUGUGAUUGGUAAGUUUGCCAUUC